rnacentral:lncRNA from 1 species
CACACAGCGGCGAUGACCCUAGGGGACUGCCACAACCCUGUCACCCAACAGAAGCCACAGGGCAGGAUAGAACACGUGCUCCGCCACAUGGUGCAGAAUCAAAAUGAGGGAAAAUAUGGUCAUCCAUGCAGACAAAAGGCCAGAGAAGUCACACCAUCCCGCGACAUGGGCUUUCUUCACUUUACUUCUGUGGACUUGCAAUAUGCUACCCAGAAAUGUAUUGUUCUAUAAACAAAACACGGCAGGGGGGUGGGCGGCAACCACAGCUGGGAACACACAGUCUCCAAGAGGGGGAGGACAGGGACCCACAAUACACUUGGUUUACAAAAAAACAAAAACAGAGACUCAGAGAGGGUCACUUCCUGAAUGUGGCACAGCAAAAACACAAGUCCAAACCUGCAUCCACUCUUCAAGUAAGAGGGGCAAAGGAAAUCAACACUUUGAUGUACAAAGCCCCUUCUGGGAGCCCACUCUGCCUUUUCCACACCCAUCAUUCCACAGGGCAGCACGGGGAUUAAGACCACCACGUUCACAGCCGACUUCCCACUUAGUGGUCCUGCAAGCCCAUGGCUACUGUGUUAACUUCUCUGUGCCUCAGGUUCCCACGUGUCAAUGGGUGGCUCCGUGGGGCAUCACGCUAAAGGGCUUCAUCCAGGUGCUGGCUCCUGCUGAACUCUCAGGACACGGUGGUCCUGAGCCCCCGCCCCCACCCACCUGUACAGCCCUGGCUUCAGGGUAUGGGCUGCCUGGGCAUGGUCUGGACCGUAUGUCCUGUACUGACAGCUCCUUGGGCCAGCAUCUCAAGGACAGGAGUCCCCCACGACACCCAGCCCUCAGUCCUCACCUGUGGCAUUGUGAGGACACCGGAUUGUGGCCACCUCUCUGGCCAGGAUCUCCUUCCAGAGCACAGCACCAAAGCUGUCCUCAUCACAGAUCUCACAGGGCUCUGCCAGGGGGCCAGGGACAUGAGUGGGGGUGGGUACAGGAAGAGGGGUGGGGAGCUGGCAGCAGGGCCAGGAAGGCCAAGACCCUCCAGGAAAUCCACCUUCACAAGGAGGCGUCAUUUCCCAGGAGAGCUGAGCCCCAAGCCCACCCAGUCUCUCAGGAUGUCCCUCCCCAGAGUCCACCUAUGGGGUGGGAGGACCAUCACUGGGACACUGCUGGGUGCUGCAUUGCUGGUGCUCAUCUUGGGGGCUCUGGCUGGCUGCUCCCACAAAGAAGGGCCCCAAGCAGGCAUGUGCCCCCUGCUGUGUGCCACCACCACGUGACAGUGCAUCUGCACCCCCGACGUCCAGGCUGCCACUUCACAUCCACAGUGGGAUGCCACCACGCACAGAGGACAAGGGAUGGGGACAAUGAGGGUACAGGUACAGGAGCCAGAGGGAUGCAGACACAAGGACGAAGGGGCAGGAAGCCAUGAGAAGAAACAGACCCCGAGAGUGGGAGCCAAGCUCACCUCGAUACAGGAUAAAACAAAUGCCUCAAAUGCACUCAUCCCCUCACCAUCACCCCACUGCCCCCGGCAUCCCCAGGGACACUGCAAUGUCCCACAAUCAUGCCCCAAGGGGUCUAGACCCCCCCUCAUGGCUCAUGUCCACCAGGUCACCCACCCACAGGUCCCUCGGCACGGCCCUAACCUGGGCACUGUUGCAGGAAGCAGUCUCGAGUUUCCAUGCAGUGGCCCUGGGACUCGGCGCCCC